GGGUGAUUAGCUCAGCUGGGAGAGCACCUCCCUUACAAGGAGGGGGUCGGCGGUUCGAUCCCGUCAUCACGCCACA
rnacentral:tRNA from 1 species